rnacentral:rRNA from 1 species
GACGAACGCUGGCGGCGUGCUUAACACAUGCCAGUCGAACGGAAAGGCCCUGCUUUUGUGGGGUGCUCGAGUGGCGAACGGGUGAGUAACACGUGAGUAACCUGCCCUUGACUUUGGGAUAACUUCAGGAAACUGGGGCUAAUACCGGAUAGGAGCUCCUGCUGCAUGGUGGGGGUUGGAAAGUUUCGGCGGUUGGGGAUGGACUCGCGGCUUAUCAGCUUGUUGGUGGGGUAGUGGCUUACCAAGGCUUUGACGGGUAGCCGGCCUGAGAGGGUGACAGGCCACAUUGGGACUGAGAUACGGCCCAGACUCCUACGGGAGGCAGCAGUGGGGAAUAUUGCACAAUGGGCGGAAGCCUGAUGCAGCAACGCCGCGUGCGGGAUGACGGCCUUCGGGUUGUAAACCGCUUUCGCCUGUGACGAAGCGUGAGUGACGGUAAUGGGUAAAGAAGCACCGGCUAACUACGUG